rnacentral:rRNA from 1 species
GAUGAACGCUGGCGGCGUGCCUAAUACAUGCAAGUCGAGCGAACAGACGAGGAGCUUGCUCCUCUGACGUUAGCGGCGGACGGGUGAGUAACACGUGGAUAACCUACCUAUAAGACUUGGAUAACUUCGGGAAACCGGAGCUAAUACCGGAUAAUAUAUUGAACCGCAUGGUUCAAUAGUGAAAGACGGUUUUGCUGUCACUUAUAGAUGGAUCCGCGCCGCAUUAGCUAGUUGGUAAGGUAACGGCUUACCAAGGCAACGAUGCGUAGCCGACCUGAGAGGGUGAUCGGCCACAAUGGAAAUGAGACACGGUCCAGAAUCCUACGGGAGGCAGCAGUAGGGAAUCUUCCGCAAUGGGCGAAAGACUGACGGAGCAACGACGCGUGAGUGAUGAAGGUCUUCGGAUCGUAAAACUCUGUUAUUAGGGAAGAACAAAUGUGUAAGUAACUAUGCACGUCUUGACGGUACCUAAUCAGAAAGCCACGGCUAACUACGUG